rnacentral:rRNA from 1 species
CCCCCGGGUGGGAGGUUGGACCCAGAGGGCCCUCACUCGGUAAUGAUCCUUCCGUAGGUGAACCUGCGGAAGGAUCAUUACCGAGUGAGGGCCCUCUGGGUCCAACCUCCCACCCGUGUUUAUUUUACCUUGUUGCUUCGGCGGGCCCGCCUUAACUGGCCGCCGGGGGGCUUACGCCCCCGGGCCCGCGCCCGCCGAAGACACCCUCGAACUCUGUCUGAAGAUUGUAGUCUGAGUGAAAAUAUAAAUUAUUUAAAACUUUCAACAACGGAUCUCUUGGUUCCGGCAUCGAUGAAGAACGCAGCGAAAUGCGAUACGUAAUGUGAAUUGCAAAUUCAGUGAAUCAUCGAGUCUUUGAACGCACAUUGCGCCCCCUGGUAUUCCGGGGGGCAUGCCUGUCCGAGCGUCAUUUCUGCCCUCAAGCACGGCUUGUGUGUUGGGCCCCGUCCUCCGAUCCCGGGGGACGGGCCCGAAAGGCAGCGGCGGCACCGCGUCCGGUCCUCGAGCGUAUGGGGCUUUGUCACCCGCUCUGUAGGCCCGGCCGGCGCUUGCCGAUCAACCCAAAUUUUUAUCCAGGUGACCUCGGAUCAG